AGCCUACGGGAGGCAGCAGUGGGGGAUAUUGCACAAUGGGCGCAAGCCUGAUGCAGCGACGCCGCGUGAGCGAAGAAGUAUUUCGGUAUGUAAAGCUCUAUCAGCAGGGAAGAAAAUGACGGUACCUGACUAAGAAGCUCCGGCUAAAUACGUGCCAGCAGCCGCGGUAAUACGUAUGGAGCAAGCGUUAUCCGGAAUUACUGGGUGUAAAGGGAGCGUAGACGGCUGUGCAAGUCUGGAGUGAAAGGUACCGGCUCAACCGGUACAGGCUCUGGAAACUGGCGGGCUAGAGAGCAGGAGAGGGG
rnacentral:rRNA from 1 species